UACUUAGUGGCGGACGGGUGAGUAACGCGUGGAUAACCUGCCUUACACUGGGGGAUAACACUUAGAAAUAGGUGCUAAUACCGCAUAAGCGCACGAAGCCGCAUGGAUUUGUGUGAAAAACUCCGGUGGUGUAAGAUGGACCCGCGUCUGAUUAGCUUGUUGGCGGGGUAACGGCCCACCAAGGCGACGAUCAGUAGCCGGCCUGAGAGGGUGGACGGCCACAUUGGGACUGAGACACGGCCCAAACUCCUACGGAAGGCAGCAG
rnacentral:rRNA from 1 species